AAUCAAGUGAAUCAUAAUCAUUUGAUUGAUGAUUAAUUUAAACCUCCAAUUGUAAACAAAUGAUGCUGCCAUCUAAUGGAAACAUUAUUCUGAGUAGCUGAUUAGGUUAAUUGUCAUAAUUAAGGGUUGAAUUGAUUUCGAAAGAUCAAAGGUCAUGAUUACUAGUUGAAUGUUUUGUCAAUUCUUUCAAUUGAUAACAAGAAUAUUUACUUGGUGAAUUAGUUUCAUUUGGAAUAAGAAUCGAAAGAUACUUUGCCUCGAGGUCUUUCGAGAUUUUAACUCUGAAUAGAAAUAAUAAUGAUUUUAAUUACCUGAGUUAAUCGUUUUAUCGAAAAAUUUAGUUUGAAUUUGGAAGAUAAUCCAUUUUGCAGAUGAUAAACUUUUUAAUUUUCUUCCUUCGUCUUCUUCAUCAGAGUGAAUAUAAAAAGGCCACAAAUCUCCGUUUAAAGAUCACUUUCAAGUUUCUCUUCGUUCAAACAAUUUGUCUAUUCUUUUGUGGAUCCAACUCUUGAUUAACUUGAUUCUUUCAUCAUGAAUACUCUUCAUCAAUUGUUCUUGGUCAUUUUCCUAAUCCAAACUGUCUCAGGAGCUUCUUCUUGGUUACCAUUUAGUGGAGAAAGUGAAGAGCCUGAAUUGGAAAUGAAAAACGUUCCAUCACCUUAUCCUCAACCUCCACCAGUUUAUGAACCAGUGAAAACAAUUGUCGAGAAACCGAUGAUUAAAGUGACCAAGAAAGAAAAGAAAACUGAAUGGGAAGAAAAGUGUCGAAUUACUUUCAAGAAAUCGGACAUUCUAAUGUUGACCAUCUUACACGACCCAUUCACCAAACCGAUGGCCGUCACUCCGAUCAUCUUGGCUUCUGAAACAAUCGCGUUCACUUAUUAUACUCCGAAAGCGAAGCCUUUAUCAGCCACCAAGAAGCUUCUUAAGUCUUUCAAAUUCUCGAAAAUUCCACAUGACAUGGACGAAUUAGAUAUCGACCUUCAAUUGGACCCAGCGACUGCCGAGUUAAUCAAACCUUAUGCGAAUCCGAAUAACAUGUUCAUCUUAACCAUAAUAACCAAAGAAAAACACGAUCUCAAGAUUAAGUCACAUUUUGUUGAUUCCAUUCUUACAACAGCAAAGAAACACUAUUGAACAAGAAGAACAACAAAAAACUAAAUCAAUUCCAAAUCCUACCCUAACCUAAAAGAAAACAAUUAAAAAAUCUCAAAAAAAUUAUCAAAACCACAAAUAAAGAAUAAAUUAAAAUGAAGAACAUCUCAAUUUUUCCUUUCAAUAUCUAAUCAAGACGCCAAACUUAUACCCACCAAUAGCACAAUUAUCUAUCAUAAUUUAAAUUUUCAUACGCUAAAUCAUUUAGCUCUAACAAUUUAAAACGAAUAAGUAAUUCAACUAAAUCAACUCCAACAAUCAACAGGUAACAAGUUGAAAGUUUGUGAUCCUGAAAUGGCUCUUUGUCUACCUUCCUAAACUCAUAGAAUUUGUACCAGAAUCACCUCAUAAAUCCAUUUACACCUUUAAUUAAAUUCUCAAACAAUUUAGUGAGAUAUUGAGAACAAUUUAAUUUCCAAUUCAAAAUCAAUUCGAGGUUCACACCAUCUAGUGGAACGAAAAAGAACUAGUCACUUUUGGCGAUUUUUUUGAAAAAAUGACAGAAGGAAAAAGAAAAAGAAAUUAACUGAAACAAAUUGUUCUCUAAUUAUUUAAUUGUUUUUCUACUCUCACCUGAAGUUGUUUAAAACGAUUACUUAAACUUUGAUUCUUAAUUGGAAAAUAAAAUUGGUUUUUUCGUAAAUUCUGUUGGUUUAAGAAGGAAAAUCUUCCAAAAGGAAGGAAAUUUAUUGACAUGGAAUUACAAUGAUGGCGAUAGAAUAGAGGAAAAAAUAAUAGAAGGAGAAAAGAGCAAAAAAAUGGACAGACUUUUCAUUAGAAGAGAAUAAAAAUAUUCUAAAUUAUCAAAAGUGUCUUAGGUACAAAAAUAUUUUCUCUCAACUUCACCAAUGUAUUUGGUACUACUAUUUGUUUCUCCUACUGUUUCCAUUGAACCGCCAUUGUGCUUCACCAUUGGUUAAUGACCUUUAUAUUAUCAAUUUUUGGUGCAACUCUGUCCCUUUAAAACUAACUACAUCAUCAUCAUUACCAUCAUACUCUCAUCACCAACUUCAUUUAACUCCAUCAUUUUUUUUUCUUAUGUUCAAACAAUCACCCAAACAUAAAAACAAAGAGUCAACACAUAAAAACAAAAGGAGAAAAAGGAACAACCAAAAUAUCUACAAGUGUUUUAAUCUUCUCGAGAUAAAGACCAAGCAUCUUAACUACUUCAAUUGUUGGUACAACCAUUUUAAACUCUUUCUUUUCUUCAUCUUAUUUUUUUUCUCAAUUUCAUAUCUAAGGAAAAGUCUCUUAUAAUCCUAGAGAUACCAAAUCAGUCCAAAUGAACCUACAGCUACAUUACAAGCUACCGAUUCAGCCUUUACUGACCACUGCUUCAACAACCACUGCACAAACAAACAACUCACCAUCAGCCAUGAUAGAAGAGAUUUAUUCACAUGAAUUGGAAAGUUAUUUUCCUACCAGGACCGAGGAGAAAAGUGAACAACUUAAAAAAUCCUGCUCCUUUUCAAAUUUCCAAAGUUUACUUAGCCAAGAAGAGACCAAUAAGAAUAAAUUUCUCGUAGAUUUGACGCAAAAAAAGCUUAAAAUUUUCGCCUUUCUCAGUGAAUCCUCGUCCAGUGCUUUUCGUAACAAAAUUUUACUCCAAAAUACACUUAAAAAACAUAACAAAGACGAUGAAAACGGUGGAACCCUAACCGAGCCAAUCAAGAUCACCGAUGAAGAUUAUAAUUCCUUUAUGAGCACAGAAUCGUAUAAUGUGCCUACAGUUAAUGUUAAAUUUACCGCAAGAAAACGAGAAUUAAGAGAAAUCAACGAAUCAACAUGUACGGAAAGUGGGGAGGAAUGGAGGACAGAUUUCAAGAAAUUAAAAGUAUCCUGUCCCUCGGAAGAGGAUGAAAUGAAGGUGACCAGUAGUGAUAAAGAUGAUGACUUUUUGCCCGAUGAUCUGGCCUCUGUUUUACUAGCCUUAAGAACAUUAGAGUGAACAAUCAAUCAAAUUAAUCUACAAUUUAUACAUAACAAAACAAAAGUUAAUUAUAUAUAUAGACACACACACACAUACAUAUAUAUUUGCAUAAAUACAAAGAUAUGUUUGGUGAUUUAUUUGUUUUAUAUUGUUGCAAGGAAAACAACAAAAGUCUCACAUCAUCCUCAUAUUCAUCUUUCUCAUCUUGCUCAUCAUCAUCAUCAUCAUCAUAAUCGUAAUCAUCAUCACCAAUAUCAUGAUAAAGAAGGAAGAUGAUUUUUUUUUCUCCUGAAGCAUCAAAGUUUCACCAAAAAGUAAAUCAACAGGACGAUUGAAACAAAUUCAACGAACAAUUCAAAGAAGCAAAGAUUAUUUAACCAAUGUUAAUAACAAUGGGAACAUGUUAUUAUACUUAAGAGCUUUAAUUUUAUAUAUUGCAUCAUCUUUCUCCCUCUCAUCAACCUCAUCUUUUGUCUAUGAUCACUCUUUCUAAGGAUAUUCAUUUCUAUUGUCAUAUUUUAUAUUUUAAUCGAAAUUUUAUCGAGAUUGGAUUUAUGAUUUUAAGAUAUAUUUAAUGCAUCAACAGCGAGAUGAUCGGAAGUUCAACCAACACUACAUCAUCACCAACCAAAACAUCAUCGAUAUAAUCAUCUGGAAAAGGAUAACGUCAUUUAAAUUAACAUUCAACUUUCUCUCUCCCUCUAUCCCAACUCACUCAUUCACUCUCUCUGUUAGCUAAGUCACCAACCUUUUGAUAGCAAUCAAAGACUGCUGGAAGAUUGUAUCACCUCAGAUCCAAACAAUUCAAUGAAAAAUGAUCACAAAUUUUUUAAAAUUCAAGUCACUUUAUUUUGACAACAAGGAGGAGCAAACAACAAUUUCGUAACAAUUCAACUAUCGACGUGCUGAAUCAAGAAUUGUUCCUCUGUUUACUAGCCAUGUUAAUGAGCUUCAAAUCAAUGGUUCAAAUCACUUUUCUCUCGACCUUCGUUUUCCAUUGCAAAGUUGUCCAAAAUUAUCCAGUUCCAAUUUUCUGUGCGCCAUCAAAUUUUCUUUGCUAUGGUUCCUCCAUCAAUUUCGCUUCUUUUCGUCCAUCAUCAUCUACUUUCUCUCUCCUCUCUCCUUUUACGAUAAUCUUACAAAUUCUGAGGAAUACUCAACCAUUUUCAACAUACAUGCACACGUACGUGCUUUUUUAUACACAUUUUACACAAACAAUUGAGAGCAAAAGCCAAUCAACAAAUUAUCAGAUUAUUUGAAAGAUUAUCCAACAUUUUCUCUAUGGCCAAGAAUCAAAAUCACGAAAGAGGAAGAGAUUGUUCAUUAUUUUGUUAGAUCUUGUAUACUGCCUUAUAAAGUCAUCAUCAUAAUUAUCUUCCAACUCUUCUUCCCGCUUCCUUCUCGAUGGAGAGAGAGAAAUAGAAAAAAAAUCGGGAGAGAGAGAGAGAGAUGAUUACCCUGACCAGUUUUUUAUUCAGUUUCAAUCAGAAGCAAAUACAUGGAAAAGAAAUGAAAAGAUGCCUUCAGGAUCAACCGUUACCAUUACCAAGGUCACAAUUUUCUCGUUGUUAUAUAUUUACACUGCUGAUAAAGUGUGAAGAUUGAGCCUUGUCAAUUUGUCUUCAUCAUCAUCAUAAUCAUCUAGUAUCUUUUUCUCCUCCUAUUUUUAAGCUCUCUCUCUCUCUCUCUCUCUCUUUCCCCUGGUUACUUCCAAUUGCCUUCAACAGCCUGCUAAUUACUUAUCUGGUAACUGCUGACUAAUGGAUACCUCACUAACCCGAACAAUAAUAAUAUCAACCAUCUAAUCAACAAUUAAUCACCAUACGAAUCCUCGCUACUAGAAUUGAAAAAAGGCAGAAAACCACUAAUAACUCAAGAAAAAAAGCUCCAUCUUGAAUUCAACACUCCCACCACCAACACGUACACCACCACCACACCACCACCCCCGCCGCUUCCGCUGCUACUGCUACCAAAAUCAUCAAAUUCUUUUUUAUUCUUCAUCAUCUUCCUCAUCUUCAUCUUCAUCAUCAAGAAUCAUGUUACAUGCUCAAAGAUUUUCCUCUCACUUCUGCAUCUAUGUUUUUUUUGUUAACAUUUUAUUUUGACAUUUAAAUGCAUCAAGUCCAUCCAAUUAACAUCACCAAGAAUAAUCGCAAUUUCGUCAAAACAACAAAACCAUCCGUAAUCAUCAUAAUCAUCCUUUAUAAUUAAAAUCAUAAUCAACGUCAUAAUCAUCUCAAUUGUUGAACAAGAGGCACAAAUACAACAACAAACAAACAACAUCACAAAAACGUCUUAAUAUUGACCAAAUCGGCCUUAUUUAAAUACACAUAACACUAACGAAACCGAAAAAACAACUAUUAGUUAAUUACAAUUUACCUCUUCUAAUCAUUGUUAUUAUAAAUACACCUUAUUAUACAUAUACCACAUUAUAAUAUAUCUUAAAACUGAAUUGACAAACAAAAAGUUGUGAAUCAAAUACAAUAUAUUAUAUAAUAAUAAUGAGAAAAAGUAAAAAAAUUUUCAAAAAAACGAAA